rnacentral:rRNA from 1 species
GGCUCAGAACGAACGCUGGCGGCGUGCUUAACACAUGCAAGUCGAACGCGAAAGGGACUUCGGUCCUGAGUAAAGUGGCGCACGGGUGAGUAACGCGUAGAUAACCUGUCUUUAUGUCUGGAAUAAUACGCCGAAAGGGGUACUAAUACCGGAUAUUUUUUGCAUUGCAUAAGCAGUGUAAGCAAAGGUGGCCUCUGACAUAAGCUACUGCAUAAAGAGGGGUCUGCGUACCAUUAGCUAGUAGGUGGGGUAAAGGCCUACCUAGGCUACGAUGGUUAGCGGGUCUGAGAGGAUGAUCCGCCACACUGGCACUGGAACACGGGCCAGACUCCUACGGGAGGCAGCAGUGAGGAAUAUUGCGCAAUGGGGGCAACCCUGACGCAGCGACGCCGCGUGAGUGAGGAAGGCCUUCGGGUCGUAAAGCUCUGUCAAAGGGAAAGAAGUGCAUGGUGGUUAAUACCUGCCAUGUUUGACGGUACCCUUAAAGGAAGCACCGGCUAACUCCGUGCCAGCAGCCGC